GCCAAUGUGGUGCAGUGGUUUGAGCACUGGACUAUGAUUCUAGAGACCAGGGUUCGAAUCCUGGCUCAGCCA
rnacentral:tRNA from 1 species